CCGCUCGGGGAGGACGACCUGGUGUCCUACGUCCUCGCCGGCCUCGACUUCGACUACAACUCCCUGGUGUCGGCUAUCUGCACGCGUGUGGAGCCGAUCAAGAUGGCGGAGCUCUACUCACUGCUGAUGGGCUUCGAGU
rfam:Brachypodium distachyon strain Bd21 chromosome 3, whole genome shotgun sequence.